CAAACCCAGAAAUCCAGGUCCUAAAAGUAUGGCUAUAGUAUAUAGAAGCCUGCAAUGCAUGUAGAAUCUCUACAUGCAUGCUAUACUAGAGCUAAGUGGCUAAGUCCAGACCUUCUGUGUGCGCAUGCGCAUUGAGGCUAGAAGCACAUGUAGUGUGCUUUAAUUAAAAUCAACAAAAAGAAGAACUGGAGAAGAACUCAAUUUAGCUCUAUACUAACUGCACUGAGUAUUUAGCUUUCCUGAAGAAUAUACACUACUGCAGCACUUCAUGGAGCUUCCAAAGGCCAUUCAUGUGCCCAGAACUUAACCUUAUUCUUGACUUGAGCACUGGUUUGGGUACAGAAGUGACUAUUCUCUGGGACAUACUAACUGCUAUAAAUGUGCAGAAAAGUAUCCAGGUACGUGGAGUAAUUACCAGACAUAAUUGUAUUUAUUAUUUAGGACAAGAUGACUUCAAUCAAAAUGUGCUACUGCUGCUGUGUGCUCUUUCGUCAAAAAGGAAACAUGUGAUGUGCUGUCAUUAACAGUAAUGUGUUGUAAUAAUCCGUAUAACAUUUAAAUAGUUGUAUAGAUGUGUUUUUGAUUUGUGUUAAAUGACUUGUACAUUUCGUUGAAAUUGCAACAGCACCAAGCUAAAUAACAUAGAGCAACUUCA